rnacentral:lncRNA from 1 species
CCCUAACCUGUCCUCUCCUCUCCUCUCUCCUCGUAAAUCCCCGAUCCACAAAUCCAAUCUUUCUGUUUUAUAUGAUGUCUCUCUAUCAGUUUUGAUUGAUUUCAAAAUCUUUGAACCACCAACACACCACCUAUUGAGAAGGCCCCCUUCAUCCUCGUUCAACAACCUUUCAUCCUUAUUCAACAGCCCCUACGGAUUUUAGUUGAUGCUUGGCUGGUAUUUAUCAAAUCUGCUGGAUUAUGGUCGAAUGAUGUAAUGGUACAACCCGCCAUAGUAGAAGCUGUGGUGGCAUAGUUCCCGGUGGUUGUGCCGCGGAGACGAUCCCUAGCCACCGGACGAUGGUGAUUAACGGUGGUGGCUGUUCAACUGGUGCAGUUGGAGAUGUUUGGAGUCUUUUCAGACCAUGUAUAGGGAAAUUUGGGAUGAAGGGGUGAAGGCAACAGUGGGCAUGAGCGGAUCAGUUGGUCAACUAUUGUUAAACUCUGCUAGAGGGGGAUCGUGUAAUAUGUUUGACUUUGUUGUGUAUUGUUGACAAUCGUUGAGUAACAAUCGAGGACGUAACCACCAGCCUGGCCCAGUAUACCUAAUUUCAAAAUUGUGUAGAGCAUUUUAUUGGUUCUAAUUUGGUUUAGUCUAUAAUGCCUUGUUUUCUUUCCAUUGGUUUUAGUUUAACUAACCUCAUAAGGUGGUUUUCAUUUAUUACACUCAUUAAAUUGUGAGUGCAGGUUAAUGCAUGCCCUCUGGACAACCAUCUAAUUACAGUCACAAAGCUGGUAUACAUCCAGUUGCAUAUCCAAUGCCCCAUGUUCUUCAGCUAACUAGAGGUUUAAUAUAGUGAGUCGGCUGACGUGUAGCAGCAGUAAGUGCAGUGAACAACUAUGAAGUGGGAAAUUUCUGGCGCAACGAAGUUUUAAGUUUUUAGUUUAACAUCUAUAAGUUAUUUGUUUUGUAUGUUUCAUAUUUAGAGUUAGGUUCACACUUAUUACACAUUU